AGCAGCCGCGGUAAUUCCAGCUCCAAUAGCGUAUAUUAAAGUUGUUGCAGUUAAAAAGCUCGUAGUUGAAUUUCGGGAUUGACGUAAUGGUCGUGCCUUAAGGGGUAUGAACUGUUACUGUUGAUUUCUCACCUUCUGGAGAAACUUGAUGUCCUUAAUUGGGUGUCUUGCGGAUCCAGGACCUUUACCUUGAAAAAAUUAGAGUGUUUAAAGCAGGCAUUUUUGCUCGAAUACAUUAGCAUGGAAUAAUAGAAUAGGACGGCAUGGUUCUAUUUUGUUGGUUUCUAGGAUCACCGUAAUGAUUAAUAGGGAUAGUUGGGGGCAUUAGUAUUCAAUUGUCAGAGGUGAAAUUCUUGGAUUUAUUGAAGACUAACUACUGCGAAAGCAUUUGCCAAGGAUGUUUUCAUUAAUCAAGAACGAAAGUUAGGGGAUCGAAGACGAUCAGAUACC
rnacentral:rRNA from 1 species